rnacentral:rRNA from 1 species
AUUGAACGCUGGCGGCAGGCCUAACACAUGCAAGUCGAGCGAGCGGCGGACGGGUGAGUAAUGUAUGGGGACUGCCCGAUAGAGGGGGAUAACUACUGGAAACGGUAGCUAAUACCGCAUACUAUCGGAUAACCCAUAGGGAAUUAGCUAGUAGGUGAGGUAAUGGCUCACCUAGGCGACGAUCCCUACCUGGUCUGAGAGGAUGAUGAGCCACCCUGGUACGGAGACACGGCCCAGACGCCUACGGAGGCAGCAGUGGGGAAUAUUGCACAAGGGGCGCAAGCCUGAUGCAGCCAGGCCGCGUGUAUGAAGAAGGCCCUAGGGUUGUAAAGUACUUUCAGUCGGGAGGCGUUACCGACAGAAGAAGCGCCGGCUAACUCCGUGCCAGCAGCCGCGGUAAUUC